GACGAACGCCGGCGGCGUGCCUAAUACAUGCAAGUAGAACGCUGAAGGAGGAGCUUGCUUCUCUGGAUGAGUUGCGAACGGGUGAGUAACGCGUAGGUAACCUGCCUGGUAGUGGGGGAUAACUAUUGGAAACGAUAGCUAAUACCGCAUAAUAGUAGAUGUUGCAUGACAUUUGCUUAAAAGGUGCAAUUGCAUCACUACCAGAUGGACCUGCGUUGUAUUAGCUAGUUGGUGGGGUAACGGCUCACCAAGGCGACGAUACAUAGCCGACCUGAGAGGGUGAUCGGCCACACUGGGACUGAGACACGGCCCAGACUCCUACGGGAGGCAGCAGUAGGGAAUCUUCGGCAAUGGACGGAAGUCUGACCGAGCAACGCCGCGUGAGUGAAGAAGGUUUUCGGAUCGUAAAGCUCUGUUGUAAGAGAAGAACGAGUGUGAGAAGUGGAAAGUUUCACAACUGUGACGGUAU
rnacentral:rRNA from 1 species